CGAAAGCCUGACGGAGCAACGCUGCGUGAGGGAUGGAGGCCUUUGGGCUGUAAACCUCUUUUCUCAAGGAAGAAGAUCUGACGGUACUCGAGGAAUAAGCCACGGCUAAUUCCGUGCCGGCAGCCGCGGUAAUACGGGAGUGGCAAGCGUUAUCCGGAAUUAUUGGGCGUAAAGCGUCCGCAGGCGGCCGUUUAAGUCUGUUGUUAAAUCGUGGGGCUCAACUCCAUCACGGCAAUGGAAACUGUUCGGCUUGAGUAUGGUAGGGGCAGAGGGAAUUUCCGGUGUAGCGGUGAAAUGCGUAGAUAUCGGGAAGAACACCAGUGGCGAAAGCGCUCUGCUGGGCCAUUACUGACGCUCAUGGACGAAAGCCAGGGGAGCGAAAGGGAUUAGAUACCCCUGUAGUCCUGGCCGUAAACGAUGAACACUAGAUGUUGGGGGAAUCGACCCCCUCGGUGUCGUAGCUAACGCGUUAAGUGUUCCGCCUGGGGAGUACGCACGCAAGUGUGAAACUCAAAGGAAUUGACGGGGGCCCGCACAAGCGGUGGAGUAUGUGGUUUAAUUCGAUGCAACGCGAAGAACCUUACCAAGGCUUGACAUCCUGCGAAUCUCUAAGAAAUUAGAGAGUGACUUCGGGAACGCAGUGACAGGUGGUGCAUGGCUGUCGUCAGCUCGUGUCGUGAGAUGUUGGGUUAAGUCCCGCAACGAGCGCAACCCACGUUUUUAGUUGCCAGCAUUCAGUUGGGCACUCUAGAAAGACUGCCGGUGACAAACCGGAGGAAGGUGUGGACGACGUCAAGUCAUCAUGCCCCUUACGCCUUGGGCUACACACGUACUACAAUGCUGCGGACAAAGAGUAGCGAUCUUGCGAAAGUUAGCUAAUCUCAUAAACCGUGGCUCAGUUCAGAUCGUAGGCUGCAACUCGCCUACGUGAAGGAGGAAUCGCUAGUAAUCGCAGGUCAGCAUACUGCGGUGAAUACGUUCCCGGGCCUUGUACACACCGCCCGUCACACCAUGGAAGUUGGCCAUGCCCGAAGUCGUUACUCUAACCUUUUGGAAGAGGGCGCCGAAGGCAGGGCUAAUGACUGGGGUGAAGUCGUAACAAGGUAGCCGUAGCGGAAGCUGCGGCUGGAUCACCUCCUAA
rnacentral:rRNA from 1 species